rnacentral:misc_RNA from 1 species
UUUUGAUGAAAACGAGUGCCACCAGCGUUGCUUGGAUAACUGUUCCUGCUCAGGUUAUGCAUAUGUAAAUGGGAUAGGGUGUUUGCUUUGGACAGGAAACCUACUGGAUAUGCACGAGUUAUCCUUCGGUGGACAAGAUCUUAAUCUCCGCCUUGCUCAUACAGAAUUGGGUGGAAGUGACCAGAAGGCCAAGGUUAAGAUCAUUAUCAGCGUCACUACUGUUUCAAUUAUCCCCCUCAUUGGUGCCAUGAUUUAUUGUUUCAUGAAGUGGAGAACCAGCUUAAGGGUUAAAACAAAUGGUAUGAAACUGAGACGCCGCUACUUUGCUGAUGUUAGUUG